rnacentral:lncRNA from 10 species
GGGAGCGGGGUGUGGGGGGAGCGGGGGGCACAGCCAGGUGCAUGUUAUGGGUCCAGGGCAGCGACCUAGUCCAUUUGUCCUUUUCGAAGUGUGGCCUGGGACACCUCCUAUCCAGCCAUACGCCGCCCAGGACUGGCUCAACAGCUCCACCCUCCACUGCUGUUCACCCAUGACACGUCACUUCCCACCCGCCACUGCUGGCUCACCUGUGACACCCCAGGCAGCUCAGAUGCCCGGCAGGUCCUGCUGGUGUGUGUUAGCCGGGGUCUCCAAAGAACCAGAGCCAGCAGGGGACACACCCAUCUCUGUAUCUGGAGAAAAAGAUCGAUGAGAAGGAAUCUGCUCCUGUGAUGAUGGAGGCUGACAAGUCCCGAGAGCCACGGUUGGCACCCUGGAGACCCCUGAGGGUGAUACCACCACUCCAGGCUGAAAGCUGGCAGGCUUGAGACCCUGGGAGAGCUGGCCCUCUGACUCCUGGGACUUCUUAUUCUAUCCUAGUAUUUCCUCAGCUGAGUGCAUGGGGCCAGACCACACUGGGGAGGGCAGUCAGCGUCACUCAGAGCACCGGGUCAUCUCAUGCAGAAACACCCUCAAAGAAAUAGCCCAAAUUAUGCUGACCAAAUAUCUGGGCACCCCGUGCCCCAGACAAGUUGACACAGAAAAUUAACCAUCACAGGUUAACUCCAUCCAGGAGUGGAAUUGCUGGGUCAUAGAGAAGGCAUAGGAAUUCACAGAAAUCACCAAACGGUUUUCAGGCGGUUGUGCCAUGUUAAACUCCCACUGGAAAGAGAGGAGAGCUGUGAUUGUUCCACGUCCUCAGCAACGUUUAGAAUAGGCAGUCUUUGGCCGGGCCGGGCACAGAGGCUCAAACCUGUAACCCCAGCACUUUGGGAGGCCAUAGUGGGUGGAUUACCUGAGAUCAAGAGUUCAAGACCAGCCUGGCCAACAUGGUUAAACCCCGUCUCUAUUAAAAAUGCAAAAAUUAGCCAGGCGUGGUGGUGCGUGCCUGUAAUUCCAGCUACUUGGGGGCUGAGGCAGGAGAAUCGUUUGAACCCAGGAGGCAGAGUUUGCAGCGAGCCGAGAUCGCGCCACUGCACUCCAGCCUGGGCAACAGAAUGAGACUCUGUCUCCAAAAAAAGAAAAAAUAAAUAAAGAAAAGUCAUUCUGUAGUUUUAGCCUUUGUGAAGGCAUGAAGUGGCAUCUCAUUAUGGUUUAAAUGCUUAUUUCGCUGGUGACUAAUGAG